UUUCUUUUGUCCGCUGGUGAUGUAUAACAAACUGUCUGUCAUUGGGCCACCUGUCCCUGCCAUGUUGAUACGGCCGUACGAGAAUAUCAGAUCCCUGCCCCCUGCGUAACGGCCUCUGAUUCCCCCGGGGCGUGCAUGCGGAUGGACCCACAAGACAGAUGGGUUGAUCCCCUUCCUGAUUCCGAGCUGGGCCUGAAGAUAGGAUUAAAGCUGAGCCCAGAUAGGACCUGUUUAAUGGGCCGUAUGGACUGGGUCGGCCUGAUUGAGGAAGCUAACAGAAGCCCGGUCUUAAAGCUGAGCGGACCGGACUUGGUUCAUGCGGGAGACUUGAGGGCCUCUGGAUAAUGGGCUAUUGUCAUGGGCCCGGCCCCAGACCGGGGUGAAGAAAUCUAGUGGUCAUCA
rnacentral:lncRNA from 1 species